rnacentral:rRNA from 1 species
AUUGAACGCUGGCGGCAUGCUUUACACAUGCAAGUCGAACGGUAACAGGCCGCAAGGUGCUGACGAGUGGCGAACGGGUGAGUAAUGCAUCGGAACGUGCCCAGUCGUGGGGGAUAACGCAGCGAAAGCUGCGCUAAUACCGCAUACGAUCUAUGGAUGAAAGCGGGGGACCGUAAGGCCUCGCGCGAUUGGAGCGGCCGAUGUCAGAUUAGGUAGUUGGUGGGAUAAAAGCUUACCAAGCCGACGAUCUGUAGCUGGUCUGAGAGGACGACCAGCCACCCUGGGACUGAGACACGGCGCAGACUCCUACGGGAGGCAGCAGUGGGGAAUAUUGGACAAUGGGCGCAAGCCUGAUCCAGCCAUGCCGCGUGUGUGAAGAAGGCCUUCGGGUUGUAAAGCACUUUCAGUAGGGAGGAAGCGUUGUGUGUUAAUAGUACACAGCGUUGACGUUACCUACAGAAGAAGCACCGGCUAACUCUGUGCCAGCCGCCGCCGUAAAAC